rnacentral:lncRNA from 1 species
GAGCUGACCAUGAAGCAAUAUUUUGAAGAAGAGACCAGAAGAAAGAAGACAAUUGCUCUCAAAUCAACAGUGCAAGAAGAAGAAGAUUCAAAAAAAUCAAAAAAUAGUGAAGAAGAUGAGGACUUGGCGUUAAUCACUAGAAAUUCAGAUCCUUUAUGAGGAAAAGAAGAUAAGGGACCAAUAGAAAACCACCAGUUAAGAGGGAGCUGAGUAAAGAAAAGAAAAAAGAGCAGCCCAUCAUCUGUUAUGAAUAUAAGAAGUCAGGCCACUUC